UUUUUUCAUAUUUAUCAAUAUCAUUAGAAUGUUGUUUUUUUUACUGAACUUAGAGCAGUCAACUGUUCAGAGUCAAAGAUGUGUCAAUGCAGUUAACCAGAUAGCAUGUCUUCGACACAGCAUUUGUUUAAUGACAGAAUAAACAUAUUGACAGUCCAACUGGUCCGAAUCAAUGCCAAGAACAUCUCAAUAACAAAGGGGUGUAGAUCUUGGAUUAGAGAAGUAGUACAAAAAGCAUCACUAUUAAUAUGGAAUUAAGUAAAGCUUUUUUUUUUUC
rnacentral:sRNA from 1 species